rnacentral:rRNA from 1 species
UACAGAGGUCUCAAGCGUUGUUCGGAUUCAUUGGGCGUAAAGGGUGCGUAGGCGGCGCGGUAAGUCGGAUGUGAAAUCUCGGAGCUUAACUCCGAAACUGCAUUCGAUACUGCCGUGCUUGAGGACUGGAGAGGAGACUGGAAUUUACGGUGUAGCGGUGAAAUGCGUAGAUAUUGGGAGGAACACCAGUGGCGAAGGCGGCUCACUGGACCGGUACUGACGCUGAUGCGCGAAAGCGUGGGGAGCAAACGGG